CCUAACACAUGCAAGUCGAACGAGCAAGAGAGAGCUUGCUUUCUCGAGCGAGUGGCGAACGGGUGAGUAACGCGUGAGGAACCUGCCUCAAAGAGGGGGACAACAGUUGGAAACGACUGCUAAUACCGCAUAAGCCCACGGGUCGGCAUCGACCAGAGGGAAAAGGAGCAAUCCGCUUUGAGAUGGCCUCGCGUCCGAUUAGCUAGUUGGUGAGGUAACGGCCCACCAAGGCGACGAUCGGUAGCCGGACUGAGAGGUUGAACGGCCACAUUGGGACUGAGACACGGCCCAGACUCCUACGGGAGGCAGCAGUGGGGAAUAUUGCACAAUGGGGGAAACCCUGAUGCAGCGACGCCGCGUGGAGGAAGAAGGUCUUCGGAUUGUAAACUCCUGUUGUUGGGGAAGAUAAUGACGGUACCCAACGAGGAAGUGACGGCUAACUACGUGCCAGCAGCCGCGGUAAAACGUAGGUCACAAGCGUUGUCCGGAAUUACUGGGUGUAAAGGGAGCGCAGGCGGGAAGACAAGUUGGAAGUGAAAUCUAUGGGCUCAACCCAUAAACUGCUUUCAAAACUGUUUUUCUUGAGUAGUGCAGAGGUAGGCGGAAUUCCCGGUGUAGCGGUGGAAUGCGUAGAUAUCGGGAGGAACACCAGUGGCGAAGGCGGCCUACU
rnacentral:rRNA from 1 species